CCUACGGGAGGCAGCAGUAGGGAAUAUUGCACAAUGGGGGAAACCCUGAAGCAGCGACGCCGCGUGAAGGAAGAAGGAUUUAGGAAUGUAAACUUCUAUUAGGAGGGAAGAAAAUGACGGUACCUGACGAAUAAGCACCGGCUAACUACGUGCCAGCAGCCGCGGUAAUACGGAGGGGGCAAGCGUUAUCCGGAAUUACUGGGUGUAAAGGGUGCGUAGGCGGGGUUGUAAGUCAGAUGUGAAAGCCUGGGGCUUAACUACCGGACUGCAUUUGAAACUGUGUGGCUAGAGUGUAGGAGAGGUAAGUGGAAUUCCUGGUGUAGCGGUGAAAUGCGUAGAUAUCAGGAGGAAUACCAAUUGCGAAGGCGGCUUACUGGACUAUAAAUGACGCUGAGGCACGAAAGCGUGGGGAGCAAACAGGAUUAGAUACCCUUGUAGUC
rnacentral:rRNA from 1 species